rnacentral:tmRNA from 1 species
GGGGGCGAACCGGGUUCGACGGAGACACGAGGACAAUGGUCGCACGCCGGGGUACUGUUGGCCCGUAAAACAAACAGACUGCGAAAUUUACCCGCAGACAAUAACGGUUACGCUCUGGCGGCCUAAGGGCCGCUAGCGUCUCGCCGCAGCUCGCCCAUGGCAGCGGGUCGAGGCGUCAUUUAGUGGGCUAGGGAACCGCGGUUCACCGAUUGCGCGGUGUACCGAAACUACAAUCGGCUGGCUCUGAAGAAGCCCGUCCGUGGGCGGCUUCAGGGCGAGAUUAAAACGCGGACUAAGCGUGUAGUGGCCGUUGUUUGAAGGUCUUCGGACGGGGGUUCAAUUCCCCCCGCCUCCACCA